CUAAGGAAGGCGAAAGAUGAUGGAGAGUGCGAGAGCACUAAAGAGAAGUCAUCGAGAAAGCCAAGCGGAAGCACACUGAGAAACUUUGUUUAGUUUUGAGGGUAAUACCUCAGAGAGCUAGUACAUUGAAAACUGAAUAUAAUCUAAAGCAAAAAACCGAGACAAUCGAAAAAACAGAUUGAAGAGCGACCGAGAAGAGAGAGAAACUCAACUUGAAAUA
rnacentral:misc_RNA from 2 species